CUCUGAAAUCAGGAAGCGAAGAUGAUGAGUCCAUCGUGGGCUGCCCGUGCCCUGGUCAUCGAUAGUGCAGGGAGAGGAGUUGCUGAAAGCCCUUCCCCGUGUUUGGAGGGUUCACUCCUGUCCCUUGCAAACCCUGGAGCUUUCGUACA
ensembl:snoRNA SNORA71 Small nucleolar RNA SNORA71